GAGUUUGAUCAUGGCUCAGAUUGAACGCUAGCGGGAUGCUUUACACAUGCAAGUCGAACGGCAGCACGAGAGAAGCUUGCUUUUCUUGGUGGCGAGUGGCGAACGGGUGAGUAAUAUAUCGGAACGUGCCCAGUAGCGGGGGAUAACUGGCCAAAAGGUCAGCUAAUACCGCAUACGCCCUACGGGGGAAAGGGGGGGAUCGCAAGACCUCUCACUAUUGGAGCGGCCGAUAUCAGAUUAGCUGGUUGGUGGGGUAAAGGCCUACCAAGGCAACGAUCUGUAGCUGGUUUGAGAGGACGACCAGCCACACUGGGACUGAGACACGGCCCAGACUCCUACGGGAGGCAGCAGUGGGGAAUUUUGGACAAUGGGGGGAACCCUGAUCCAGCCAUCCCGCGUGUGCGAUGAAGGCCUUCGGGUUGUAAAGCACUUUUGGCAGGGAAGAAACGGCCCGGGAUAAUACCCUGGGCUAAUGACGGUACCUGCAGAAUAAGCACCGGCUAACUACGUGCCAGCAGCCGCGGUAAUACGUAUGGUGCAAGCGUUAAUCGGAAUUACUGGGCGUAAAGCGUGCGCAGGCGGUUCGGAAAGAAAGGUGUGAAAUCCCGGGGCUUACCCUCUGAACUGCACUUUCUACUGCAGGGCUAGAGUACGUCAGAGGGGGGGUAGAAUUCCACGCGUAGCAGUGAAAUGCGUAGAGAUGUGGAGGAAUACCGAUGGGGAAGGCAGCCCCAUGGGAUGAUACUGACGCUCAUGCACGAAAGCGUGGGGAGCAAACAGGAUUAGAUACCUUGGUAGUCCACGCCGUAAACGAUGUCAACUAGCUGUUGGGGUUUAUUAACCUUAGUAGCGCAGCUAACGCGUGAAGUUGACCGCCUGGGGAGUACGGUCGCAAGAUUAAAACUCAAAGGAAUUGACGGGGACCCGCACAAGCGGUGGAUGAUGUGGAUUAAUUCGAUGCAACGCGAAAAACCUUACCUACCCUUGACAUGUCUGGAAGAUUCAAGAGAUUGGAUUGUGCUCGCAAGAGAACCGGAACACAGGUGCUGCAUGGCUGUCGUCAGCUCGUGUCGUGAGAUGUUGGGUUAAGUCCCGCAACGAGCGCAACCCUUGUCAUUAGUUGCUACAUUCAGUUGGGCACUCUAGUGAGACUGCCGGUGACAAACCGGAGGAAGGUGGGGAUGACGUCAAGUCCUCAUGGCCCUUAUGGGUAGGGCUUCACACGUCAUACAAUGGUCGGGACAGAGGGAUGCCAAGCCGCGAGGUGGAGCCAAUCUCAGAAACCCGAUCGUAGUCCGGAUCGCAGUCUGCAACUCGACUGCGUGAAGUCGGAAUCGCUAGUAAUCGCGGAUCAGCAUGCCGCGGUGAAUACGUUCCCG
rnacentral:rRNA from 1 species